AGAGUUUGAUCCUGGCUCAGGAUGAACGCUGGCGGCGUGCCUAACACAUGCAAGUCGAACGAAGGUAUAUAUAGGAAGUCUUCGGAUGGAAUAUGUAUAACUUAGUGGCGGACGGGUGAGUAACGCGUAAGUAAUCAACCUGUGACACACGGAUAACUGAUAGAAAUGUCAGCUAAUACGAGAUGAACUGUUUAAAUUGGGAAAUGGAAACAGCAAAGCGAAAGCGGUCACAGACGAGCUUGCGUCUGAUUAGCUAGUUGGUGGGGUAAGAGCCUACCAAGGCGACGAUCAGUAGCCGGCCUGAGAGGGUGAACGGCCACAUUGGAACUGAGACACGGUCCAAACUCCUACGGGAGGCAGCAGUGGGGGAUAUUGCACAAUGGGGGGAACCCUGAUGCAGCAACGCCGCGUGAGUGAAGAAGGCCCUAGGGUCGUAAAGCUCUGUCGUAUGGGAAGAAACAAAUGACUGUACCAUACAAGAAAGCCCCGGCUAACUACGUGCCAGCAGCCGCGGUAAUACGUAGGGGGCAAGCGUUAUCCGGAAUUACUGGGCGUAAAGGGUGCGUAGGCGGCUAGUUAAGUCGAGGUUAAAAGGCAGUAGCUCAACUACUGUUGGGCCUUGAAACUAAUUAGCUUGAGUAUAGGAGAGGAAAGUGGAAUUCCCGGUGUAGCGGUGAAAUGCGUAGAUAUCGGGAGGAAUACCGGUGGCGAAGGCGACUUUCUGGACUAUAACUGACGCUGAGGCACGAAAGCGUGGGUAGCAAACAGGAUUAGAUACCCUGGUAGUCCACGCCGUAAAC
rnacentral:rRNA from 1 species